CUAGUGGUGCAUUGAGCUGAGGUCAGUAAUUGCCCACUGGGAACUAUAAAUUAUAGUUCUCACGCCCUCUGUUUUAUGUUUUCUUUCAGAGCCUUCCACGCCGGGAGAGGUUAGGGACCGUGGGAAGGGCGUUGCUUCGAGUUAGCCCUUCAGCGAGUGACGAGUUUUAGGCGGUCUAUGUCACGCCCCGCGACCAACCGCCAAUUUGGACCAGGUCGCGGGGCCACUAACAGACCACCGAACGAACCGGGGUUUCCCCUAUACGCGGACAGAGUCUCCCCUGUACGUUCUAGGCGUCGCAAUCCAAACAAUACAACGAGUGUUCCAACUAGGAACGGAUAACAAUUCAGAUUGCAAAGGAAGUAUCAAAUACAUAAAACUAACAGCUAUUACAAGCAUUCACUUAGUACAUCACAGUUCAGUUUACAUUUUACUUCCGAAUUACAAUCUAAUUAUUACAUCAUUUAAUCUACAAGUUUGAUACAUUUUGAUUCUUGCCUACUAGUCCCCUAAGCUAGAUUGCCUCAGGGUACUGCUACCUCGGUCUCUGUGGUAGGGCGCUAUCUACUGAGCUACGCCCUCGCCCUGCGCCACCGCGCCGCACACGAACGACCUAAAAACCCCAAAACAACGUGGGGUGAGAACCAACUCCAUGGUUCCCAGUGGGUACGGCCACCCAAGGGAAAAGCUCGACCGAUAGGUCCGAGGAGGCACUGCAACAUGUUAGUUCAACAAUAUACAACAGAUAUAUAUAUAUUCAAUUGAAAUACAUGUCAUGCCUCACGAUAUGCGAUAUGAAAAUCAUGCAACUCUAUGCAACAUCUAGUAGAUCCAUAGAUUUUACAUUAUAGGCUACUUUAGCUCAAUUCUUUACACUAAGGUUCUAUUACCUUAGGAUCUCAACUCAGCUCACUGGCUUCUAAGGUCUCUAUUACCUUAGCUCAAGCCUCUAUCUCUAGCUCAUAAGGGUUCCUCUACCCUAACGAUGCUAACCACACGACUCGGCUUCGAGUCAAUCAUUCGCGGAUAGCCCGUGCACUGGCUGCUCAUCAGCCUACCGCCCUCUUUGUCUCAGCCCCCUAGCGGCGAAGUCGUCGCACACGCUAAGCUCGACUCAAGUCGCACCACUUGACCAUCCGGUGGUGAUCGCGUUGCCCUUACCCAGCGUGAGCUCGAGUCCUUACACACCGUCUGGCGGCGAACGAAUCGCACCACACCCAACAACGGUACAUGUCAGACUCAGCCACCUGGAGGCACCCGCAUCGUACUUACCCAGCAUGGAUUCAGUCUGCUCUGGCGGUCUGAUCCUCAAAUGGCUUAACCAUCCUGGCGGCGAAAUCGUCGUACAACGCCACGACAAUGGUUCAAGCCCCGGGCGGUGAUCUCUAUGUGAUCGCCCCCAAUCCUCCCUCGGUACCAAGCUCGGCGGCGAAGUCGUCGCACAAACGCCCUAGCUUCUACCAGGGUCAUCACAAGUCAUGGGAUUCCGAAAUCCACUUCCCACAGGUCGAGGAUCCAUAGCCAACCCUAUACUUUCGACCUAUCUCAUCCUAGUGGCUAUACCACUAUACUCAUCAACCUAGGUUCCAAUACUCUAGGUUCUAUGUCCACGUCACUUAACCUAGAUACACUUACUAGGUUCAUGUCAUCUUUGCCUAGAUGUCCACUUCUAGGUUUACUAAUUCGACCUAGGUUACUGACACUAGGUUCGAUGCCACAUACCUAGAUUGUUCGACUCUAGGUUCACUUGUUUAACCUAUGUUCUUUAACACUAGGUGAGAUGCCACUCGAUCUACCUGACAACCUAGUUGUCCAAUCAACUCUACUCACACUAGAGUUAUUAACUCAUGUUUUCUACUUGGCAUUUACUCUAUGCAUCUUUGUUCAUCAUGCAUUCUAUUUAGCAUUUCAAUCUAUGCAUUACUAUUAGUAUGCAUUCUUUACGUUAGCUAGCAUUAUAUACAUGUCAUGCUAUCAUGCUUGCUACUUACUAUACAUUCUUUACUUAGCCUUUACUUUAUGCAUUAUCAUUCAUCAUGCAUUUCUUGUCCUUGUCUACAUGCACAUGCAUCAACAUGGAGAUACAUUGCUAAGACAUAAAGGGCGACUUAGUCGCUUCGGUAAGCACAACCCACCUUAGCUCGCUUUUCCGAUUGCUCGUCAACACUUGCAAUCGGCCUCCCGCGGCACCCGGCACCCGUUCGGGCCCGAUCUCAUAGUUGCUCCCCUCGAGCGCGCCGCUUCGCAGUUUCAAGUGCUAGCGAUCUUCGCCUUGCCGCUACGGUGCUCGGGACCCGAUUUCACGAUUUAUGGACGUCGCCUCGGCCUCCCAGGCGGAAAUGAAGCUCCGAGCGCCCGUUUCUUCAAUAUCUUCGUAACGGCUUGUCGGAUUGUCGAACCGACUUCUUCAACGUGUUUCGCUACCUACCAAUUAGGUUUACGAAGGGUCAAAUGAUAUCAAACUCAUCUAUUUACAAAAACCCCCAUGGAUGCCCUAGAAUGCCCUUAACUUCAAAAUCACCAAAUCGAUCUAUGAAAUAGGGUGAAAUCAUCUUAGAGGCAUGCUAGGGUUCCUCCAAAUCCAUUUCUAGGGUUUAAAAACCCAUCUACAAUGAACUAUUACAAUAAGCCAUGAAACUUACCUCUCGAGAGAGCUCCAAUGGCUCAAGAAGGAUGAAGGAGAGGGUGAAGAUCUCCUUCUAGAUCUUCUUCUCCUUCCUCUCCAUCUUCUUCUUUCUCUUUUUCCUUCUCUGUUUUCCUUUUCUUUCCUUCUUUCUCUUUUCCUUCUUUUCUCCCUUGCACAAACAGAGGGAGAGAGAGAGAGGCUGAGGGAGUGAGAGAGAGAGGAAAAGAUCUCUCUCUAAUACCCUCUCUCAUUUUGUAACAAUAUCCCCAAAGGCCCCUCAACUUUUCACCUCUUACACAGCCCUUACUGGGCGUUCUGCGCGCGGAGGGACCGGUCUCCCCGACCUGGGACCGGUCCUCGGGGCCUUCCCCCGCGGACAGGCGUUCGGGAACCGGUCCCUCCCUAAGAGACCGGUCCUCGGGAGACCGGUUCCUCUCAGAGAGACCGGUUCCCGAGAGAUGAACCUUCGGGACUUAGCCGAUUUUCGGCUCUUCUCAUUGGUGUCGCAGGCUGGGACCGGUCCCUCCUCUGCCAGGGACCGGUUGCAUCAGCAACCCCACAGCCUUCGGCUGAUGGGACCGGUCUCUCACCUCCAGAGACCGGUCCCCGAGAGCAAUCUCAGCCCAAAAAUGUAGAUUGCAUUAUUUGCUCUCGCGGACUCCAUUCCAAUGCACUUCUCGAUUUUCGUGCAUCCUAAGCUUUUCCAAAGCUUAUAAACUCGACCAUUAGUCUAUUCGGGACGAAGCGCAACUCUCGGAUUUCGAGAACUCACAUCGUUACAGUCUACCUCUCGAUGUAUUUCAUUUUGGAGAGGUUGAGAGCUAUACCAGUGUACUAGAGACCACCCUUUUAUGUACCUUUGAGACAGAUUUUGUACUACUUCAUGGUUACUUUUGUUGUGUAGUUAUGUUUCUUUUACUCUGGUUUAGAUGAUAGAACUUUACUCGCUCUGAUAUCAUUAGUUGUUAUUAUUCUAUUUGUCCUAUUUCUUGCUUUUAUUUUCGCUGUUGAUGUAGACGCCUUAUAUGUGUUGACAUAUGGCGGGUGUGGGCAUGCUACCGAGAGGACCUCUGCCAGUCGCGGGGCGUGACAAAAAUCAUUCCUAGGUCAUUUGGUUCUCAUUCUAGGGUUUUAUCAUAAAAGGGGUCAAAGCUUACCUCAAAGCUUUCCCUUUUUUGUACUAGAGGUGAAGGAGAGGGAGCUUAAGUGUGAUGCUUAAGUGUCAUAAAGAGGCACUAAGCAAGUGAGUAUUUGGAUAUCACUUUGUGACAUGGAGCUAGACCGUUGGGUUACUAGUAGCUAUUGCCAUGAUUGAGAUAUGAGGGUUUGAUACUUGAGCCUUAACUACGCUUGUUUGCCAUUUGUGCUCAUCGCACAUGCUUGUGAGGGUCGCUCCCUACAAGCCGGCACUUCGGAGUUAGCCUACGCGAUCUAUGUUCGCUCGUGCGGUGUUGAGAAGCAUACGAGGUCGAGUGGGACAGACACAUUCCAAGAGCAGGAAUGUUGGGCUACCACAGGCACUUAGGCGGCACAGCUGGACUACCUUGGGUAGGUCCUUAAUUGGAAAUGGAAAUCAACACGGUGUUGAGUAUGUUAUAAUCACUACUAGAUAGAGAGUAGUAGUUGGAUUACUUUGACUUGCUUCUAGCAUAGUUUUGGACACUUGAGUAUACAUACAUACAUGUAGUAUGCUAGGAGAUAUUGCUUAUUGCAUUCAUACAUAUAUUAUUGCCAUGAUAAAGCAUGAUCUUCAUAACUUUAUAAAGUAAACCGUGACAUUUACCUGUGGCCAUGUAGGGACAUAUUGUUUGUGACAAAGUAAAGGUGUAUCAUAUUAAUGCCAUGUUUAAUUGCAAUAUAGUAGCUUAGCAUUUUAAUUAUGCUUUCAUAAAUGCAAUUUAUUCAUUAUUGCUGCUAUCUUUUUAGAUUUACCCUUUCUUUUGGGGCCUAGUGGUGCAUUGAGCUGAGGUAAGUAAUUGCCCACUGGGAACUAUAAAUUAUAGUUCUCACGCCCUCUGUUUUAUGUUUUCUUUCAGAGCCUUCCACGCCGGGAGAGGCUAGGGACCGAGGGAAGGGCGUUGCUUCGAGCUAGCUCUUCGGAGAGUGACGAGUUGAUAGGUGGUCUACCUCUCGAUGUUUUUAUUUUGGAGAGGUUGAGAGCUGUACCAGUGUAUUAGAGAC
rnacentral:lncRNA from 1 species